AGAAAAAGAAAAAGAAAAAGAAAAAGAAAAAGAAAAAGAAAAAGAAAAAAAAGAAAAAGAAAAAGAAAAAGAAAAAAGAAAAGAAAAAGAAAAAAAAGAAAAAUAAAGUUACAGCUUUAACCACAUAGAGGAAAAUCACUAAACCCAGCUUAGAGAUCACCAGGCCCAGCUUUCAUUGCACCUUUGUCAGCUCAGGGGGGGUUGGAGCACAGGUUGUAAGGCCUUGGUGUCAGAUAUGGUAAUUCCCUGUGGAGCUGAAGUUAAUAAGAAAGAGAGGGACAAGGGAACUCAGUGUUGAACAAAGGGGGCAGGCUGAUGUGAUUUAUUGGGAAGGCUGAAUUUCUCAUUACUGUGUGAUGGAGAAAAGUUUUUAAAGCAGCAGAAGUCUUUGGGCUUUCCAUGGCUAGAGAUGAGAGCUCUGCAGUAAGAUCAGCAAGCAGAGGAUGUCCUUGUCUCACCUUGCAUAAUUAUUCUGCAGUAAAAAGCACCUAUUCUAUUCUGUGUGCUCUCUUCCAGCCUUUACACUCUAAUCCUUCUCAUAAAUUAAGAGACAGUAAUCACCUACUGCUUCCCCAAGUUUCCUGUUCCUGUUUGAUGUCAUUGUGCUUUACACCAGGGUUAAGCCUGGCUUGCUUUUUUUAGUGAUGCCUCUAUUUAAUCUUCUUAAUUUAUGUGACGUGCUGAUAUUUGUUUAGAACUCUGAAAUAAGUAGUAAAAUGGAGACAUCCCUGAAACAAAGAGAACCUCUGUUAAUAAGGACUGUAAAGUCAUCUUCUUUCUGUCUGCUCCAAGGAGAUCACAUUCAUGAAGCAAAAUUGUGUGAAGAAGAAAUGGUUCAUUUUGUGUUAGACUGGUUUUUAAAGAGAAAAUGGAAACCAGAAACAGAUUUUUCAUCUCUUUUUUUUUGGUAUUACGCAACAAAUACAAAGAGAUGGCCUCAACUAGAAUGUCUCUGUGCUAUUAAAUUUCUCUUUUUUUUAUUAUUAAAAAGAGGGUGUUUUCAGAAGCAAAAGAUGCAUCAAGACAAAAUGAUCUAUCAAUUCAAACUCUCCACCCAUAACAACACUGACUGAAUUGACUGAAUCUAUGCUGUUUCUAGACAGACCACAGCCCUGUGUCCCCUCCUCCCUUGUUUCAUGCAUAGGGACCACUGCCAGGCAAAAAAAGGGCUGGUCAGCUCCUGGCUCAUCCUGGUGUGAUCCCCUCAGGGCUGUUGGAAGAAGCCAAAGCUGUGUUGGCUUCACUGAUCUCCACCAGGAGCAUCUCAGCCACAGCAAACAGCUCUGAUUGUUCCCCUGGGCACUGUGUCCCCAACACUGUGUCACACUGACUCCUCAACAGGCUUAAAUUAGCAUGGCUAGUGUUAAAACUGAGUGUAUUUGCAUGUCUGGUACCAGGCUGAGUGUACUUAUCUCAGGCUAACAGGAUCACAAUUAAUAAUCUUGCUGUAAUUGAAACCCGCCUUUGACAUCACCUCCCGCCUGACUAAUUGGAUUGUGUCUCCUCAGUCUCUCCUGCUAUUUUUUCUUCUGUCUCCCCUGACCUGCCUGAGAGGUAACUCCCCAGCAGCAUGACAUUAAAACCAAAUUGACCUGUCACAGGAACUGAGUUUCUGGAAUCCCUAAAGACUCUGUAUCUAACUGCAUCAGGCAAAAACAAUUUCUUCCCUGAAUCCCUGAAGCUCAGCAACAAUGUUGUUUCAAGCACCUGGAAGGAGGCACGGAAGAAAUUUCCAAACAAUGUACGAACCAGGCUUUUCCUCCUCAAAGUGACAAGCCAGUCUUCAAAGGACUCUCAUCUCUGUGCACUUUGAGAGUGUACUCCUAAGCUAGAAUUCCUUGGAAGCAGCCACAGCUUCAGGGGUCAUGAGUCUGGGGUGUCCCAUUCGAUACAAAUGGCUUGGGUUGUCAGGUGACACAUUGACUGUUCAUGUCCUUGGCACUUGCUUUGCCAAAACCUUCCCAAGACAUCUAUUUCAAAUUGAAAAACCUUAAUAAAUGCAUCGCCUGAAAA